AGCUCCAAUAGCGUAUAUUAAAGUUGUUGCAGUUAAAAAGCUCGUAGUUGGAUUUCUGGUGGGAGUGACCGGUCCGUCCCUUUGGGAUGUGUACUAGUUUGUCGUCUCUUGCCAUCCUUGGGGAGAGCGUGUCUGGCAUUAGGUUGUCGGGUACGGGAUCCUCAUCCUUUACUGUGAAAAAAUUAGAGUGUUUAAAGCAGGCUUAGGCCGUUGAAUACAUUAGCAUGGAAUAAUAAGAUAGGACUUUGGUGGUCUAUUUUGUUGGUUUGCACACCGAAGUAAUGAUUAAUAGGGACAGUUGGGGGUAUCCGUAUUUCGUAGUCAGAGGUGAAAUUCUUGGAUUUACGAAAGACGAACUACUGCGAAAGCAUUUACCAAGGAUGUUUUCAUUAAUCAAGAA
rnacentral:rRNA from 1 species